rnacentral:rRNA from 1 species
AUGGGGAUAUCCUUCCGAAAGGAGGGGCAAUACCGAAUAUUGUCCGGAGCCGUGAAGGGUUCCGGGGAAAGGGAGGCCUCUGAUACAAGCUUUCGCCUUAAGAUGAGCCCAUGGCCCAUCAGCUAGUUGGUAGGGUAAAGGCCUACCAAGGCUACGACGGGUCGCUGGUCUGAGAGGACGACCAGCCACACUGGCACUGAGAUACGGGCCAGACUCCUACGGGAGGCAGCAGUGAGGAAUAUUGCGCAAUGGGGGAAACCCUGACGCAGCAACGCCGCGUGU